UACGGGAGGCAGCAGUGGGGGAUAUUGCACAAUGGGGGAAACCCUGAUGCAGCGACGCCGCGUGAAGGAGGAAGUGCUUCGGCAUGUAAACUUCUAUCAGCAGGGAAGAAGAUGACGGUACCUGACUAAGAAGCCCCGGCUAACUACGUGCCAGCAGCCGCGGUAAU
rnacentral:rRNA from 1 species